GCCGCCGCCAGGGGGAGCCGUGGCCGGUCACACACCCCCCCCCAACCGGAGCCGUGAGGUGCGGGUCCAGCUGCGGGCGGUGCCGGAGGAUCCCGUCGCCGGCGGUCACAGUGGCCUGAUCUCACCCUACUCUCAUUAUUUUCUUUCCAUGAAGACACUGACAAUUCAAUCUGGCUGAAGAGUUAAGUAGCUGCACCAACUU
rnacentral:lncRNA from 1 species